UACGUAGGGUGCGAGCGUUAAUCGGAAUUACUGGGCGUAAAGUGUGCGCAGGCGGCCGCGCAAGUCGAGUGUGAAAUCCCCGAGCUUAACUUGGGAAUUGCGCUCGAAACUACGUGGCUGGAGUGUGGCAGAGGAAGGUGGAAUUCCACGUGUAGCGGUGAAAUGCGUAGAUAUGUGGAGGAACACCAGUGGCGAAGGCGGCUCACUGGACCGGUACUGACGCUGAUGCGCGAAAGCGUGGGGAGCAAACAGG
rnacentral:rRNA from 1 species